CCAGAAUCCUUAGCGCGAGGCGGAACCCUCCUGCCCCGCAGCCGCUGUGGACGCCGGGGUCGGGACCGGAGCGCGGGCGGAGGGAGCGCCUGUCUCUGGCUGCUUCCGCGUGGACGAUGGCGGUGCCCGAGCCGCCGCUGCCGCUGCCGCGAGGAGGCCCAGGCUCCGCUUCGCUCUCCCCGCCCCGGGGAGAGCGCACCCUCCUCGUCAGGCACCUGCCGGCCGAGCUGACGGCCGAGGAGAAGGAGGACUUGCUCAAGUACUUCGGGGCGCAGUCGGUGCGCGUCCUGUCCGAUAAGGGGCGCCUGAAACAUACAGCAUUUGCUACUUUCCCUAAUGAAAAAGCAGCAAUAAAGGCAUUGACAAGACUCCAUCAGCUGAAACUUCUAGGCCAUACUUUAGUUGUUGAAUUUGCAAAAGAGCAAGAUCGAGUUCAUUCCCCAUGUCCCACCUCAAAUACAGAGAAAAAGAAAAGAUCGGAUGACAUUGUGGAAGAUGAUAAAGAGAAGAAAGAGCCUGACUUUUUAACAAUAGAAAAUGGAAUUGCACCAAAUCAUGGGCUGACUUUUCCUCUAAAUUCAUGCCUCAAAUAUAUGUACCCACCACCUUCAAGUACAAUCCUUGCAAAUAUAGUGAAUGCUCUGGCAAGCGUGCCCAAGUUCUAUGUGCAGGUGCUUCAUCUUAUGAAUAAAAUGAAUUUGCCCACCCCAUUUGGACCUAUUACUGCACGACCGCCUAUGUAUGAGGACUAUGUGCCAUUGCAUGCACCCCUUCCUCCUACAUCACCUCAACCACCUGAGGAACCUCCCUUGCCAGAUGAGGAUGAGGAUUUAUCUAGUAAAGAAUCAGAAUAUGAAAGCAGUGAUGAGGAGGACCGACAGAGAAUGAACAAACUAAUGGAACUAGCAAAUCUUCAGCCCAAAAGACCCAAAGCCACAAAGCCACGCCAAGUGAGAAAAAAGCGAAAAAUAAAGGAUAUGUUGAAUAUACCUUCGUCAACUUCACACAGUACCAGUUUGCAUCCUGUGCUGUUACCAUCAGAUGUAUUUGACCAACCACAACCUGUAGGCAGUAAAAAAAUUGAAUUCAAUAUAUCUACCAACAUGCCAGCAGCAUUUAAGAACGAUUUGGAGAAGGAACAGAACAAUGAGGAAAAACAUUCCGAUUUACCAGAUACUGGACUUGAUGAUUCAAAUACAGGAUUUGGAAAAAUUUUCCCCAAACCUAAUUUGAGCAUCACAGAAGAGAUUAAAGAUGAUUCUGAUGAAAUGCCCUCACAAUGUAUUUCUCGAAGGGAGUUGGAAAAGGGUCGAAUUUCUAGAGAAGAAAUGGAAAACCUUUCAGUUUUCAGAAGUUACGAACCUGGUGAACCAAACUGCCGAAUUUAUGUAAAGAAUUUAGCUAGACAUGUUCAAGAAAAGGACCUUAAAUUUAUCUUUGGAAGAUAUGUUGACUUUUCUUCAGAAACACAGCGGAUAAUGUUUGAUAUCCGCUUGAUGAAAGAAGGACGCAUGAAAGGACAAGCUUUCGUUGGACUUCCAAAUGAAAAAGCAGCAGCUAAAGCCUUAAAAGAAGCUAAUGGCUAUGUUCUUUUUGGAAAACCCAUGGUGGUUCAGUUUGCUCGAUCUGCUAGACCAAAACAAGACUCUAAAGAAGGAAAACGAAAGUGAUAGGAAUGGGUAAAGAAGCAUUCCUGCGUAAAUACUGCUGUAAUACUGUCAUACAAGUGUAUCCUUUCUUGUUGUAUCCUUUUUGGGGCAGUGGUUUUGUUUCUUUUUGUUUUCUAGAAAUGCUUUGUCUUCCUUCUAUCAUUUAUCCAGAUUAAGCAAAACUUUUUAUACUUCAUUCAAAUGAAAUGGUUCUCAAGUUAGUUUUGUAGCCUGAACAAAUAUUUUACAUGUAUUCUAGAUUCACUGUUUAACUUUCUAUGUUGUCAUAUAAUCAAGGAGUUUUUUUCAGGGAAAGUUAGUGAAUCAGGUCACUUAGUGUAUACCUAUGUUUGACUGCAGAGUGUGGUAGUGUUUCUUCUCUGUUGGCUUUCUGUUUCCUGGCAUAUCCCAUUGAGGUAUCGUUCUAGUUUCAUUUCCGUUGCUGUGACAAAUACCCUGACCUAAAGCAACUUAGGGAAGAAGGGGUUUAUUUGUCUUAUAAUUCCAAGUUACUGUUCAUUGUUGUGGGGAAGGCAAGGCAUGAGUUUAAAAGCUCAUAUCUGCAGUCGAGCAGAGAGAGAAUAAACAUAUAGAUCCUCACUUGCUUAGUCUGAGCUAGCUUUUUGUUCUCUUACACUGUUCAGGGUCCCCUUUCCUAAGGAAUGGUGCUACGCAAAAUUGGCUGGAUCUUGCAUCGGUUAAUAAUCAAGACCAUCUUAUGCCCUCAGACCAGCAUAGUCUAGAUAAUGGUUUACUAGGACUGUUUCCCCAGGUUAUUCGGUGUUGUGUCAAGUUGACAAGGCUAUCCAGCAGAGUUGUUCUAUAUAACAUGUUCUAAAAUUUGACUGGGAAAGGAUCUUUUUUCCCUUUAUUAAUAAGUAUAUUGAAAUUAACAAAAUUCUAUAAAAAUCUCAAAGUAGAGUAACAGAUACCACAUCGACAGUCUAAAUGAAAUGUCUUUGACAAGUGGAAGGAUUUCUCUUACUCUUGGUCUUUUUAAAACAAAAAUGAAAAAUUAAAAACCUAGAUUUAAAUAUAUAUGUAUGUAUAUAUAAAUUUUGAUGUACAUAUAUAAAUUUGAAAAGAAUAAUAAGUAAAACAUGUUAUACUUCAGAUAGCUUAGUAAAUUAUCUUGUAGAAAUAAGAACAGUGAUUCCAGGCUGUAUGAUGACUAGAAUCUUUCAGAACAGUUAGUCUCAAAUUUUCCUGCACACUUAAAUUCUGAUAACUCUAAAUUAGGUAAUAAUAUAUUACCCGUUUUCUGACUUAGAGUUUGAUUCUAGUAUAUUAUUAAUAUAGAGGAAGAGUUUCUAUGUAUAAAUAUUUUUAGACUUUUAUCUUAGAACUAUAAAUCAAAAUCACUUGAAAUUACGCCCAAUAUAAUUUUAAAGGUUCCCUUAGUAAUAGAAAGGACCACUGACAAGUUUAGAUGCUACUUAGUUAAAGUGAUUGGCCAUUGCAUACCAACUUAGUCAUACAAUGUUUUUUUAGUAGUAAAAUAAAAAUCCUCAGCAUUUUGUCGGAAAUGGUGCUAAUAUAAGUGCUAUAAAACUACUCAAAAUUCUCUUAUUUGUCACCCUAAUAUUAGAAACUUACCAAAACUGAGAUUAUAUUCUCUUGAUAUACACAAUUGAAUUAGUUUAGAUUUAAGUAUUAUAAUAUUAUAAGUAGCAGUCAUUAAUAUAUAUUUUGUUGUGCUGACAUGAUUCACUAAUUUUCUACAUAUAAGUAUUUGGGCUUUUUAAAGUUAAUGAAUUGAAUUAUUAUUAUUUUUAAUGGGCUUUUGUGGUGUUUUAGGUUCCUUCUGAAUUCUCUGUCUUUCAAGUACUGUGGAACUAUGAGAGAAGAAAUUGGCCAUCUGGACCUUGGAACUGUACUUUUUCCUGAGACUGAGACUCUUUGCUGUGUAGGCAGGAAAGAUAGUGUGUGCCUCCCAGGAUCUCUUAAGUUUCAGCUGUUGAUCUCCAUGUCAGAGGUGUGCUACCUCUCGUUACAGAAAACAGGUGACAAUAAAUUGAGCUGCUCAGGUUAGAGCGGCCACUCUUGAUCCAGAUCAGCAGAUUCCAACUGCGCUGGAAGGCUGCACAUGUCGUCUGCGUGUGAGGUCAGAAAGUGAGUCUUCUAAAGAAUGUGAACAGCACAGUGUUCUACUGUCAGCAGGCCUAGAUCCCGUGGGAAACACGGCUUCUUGUAUGUAGCCAAUCUCUGAUACAAUGGACGCUUACUGCUCGAGCCUUCCCUGUUAGAAGAAAGGUCCUCAUGAACACGUGGGCAGCUUUCUCUGUGCGCACAGG